CGUUAAGAAGCUAAUAUCAGCGUUAACCUUUUAAGUUAGAGAUAGGGAAACCACACUCCCCUUAACGA
rnacentral:tRNA from 1 species